rnacentral:rRNA from 1 species
GGAUUAGGCAUGCAAGUCGCACGAGAAAGGCUUCUUCGGAGGCCGAGUAAAGUGGCGGGCGGGUGAGUAAUGCAUGGAUAACUUGCCCUUGAGAUGGAGACAACGCCUCGAAAGGGGUGCUAAUACCCAAUACCGCCGCGGGUCGCCGGAUCUGCGGUGAAAGGAGGCCUCUGAUUCAAGCUUCCGCUCAAGGAGAGGUUCAUGUCCUAUUAGCUAGUUGGCGGGGUAACGGCCCACCAAGGCUUCGAUGGGUAGCCGACCUGAGAGGGUGACCGGCCACAUUGGGACUGAGACACUGCCCAGACUCCUACGGGAGGCUGCAGUCGAGAAUCUUCCGCAAUGCGCGCAAGCGUGACGGAGCGACGCCGCGUGGGUGACGAAGGCCUUCGGGUUGUAAAACCCUGUCAGCUGUUAUGAAAGGCGGGCGAUGAACAAUUGUCCCGCUUGACGUAAGCAGCAGAGGAAGCACCGGCUAACUACGUGCCAGCAGCCGCGGUAAUACGUAGGGUGCGAACGUUGUUCGGAAUCACUGGGCAUAAAGGGCGUGUAGGCGGUCGUACAAGUCAGAUGUGAAAGCCCCCGGCCUAACCGGGGAACUGCAUUUGAUACUGUGCGGCUAGAGUGCAGAGGGGAGAGUGGAAUUCCUGGUGGAGCGGUGAAAUGCGUAGAUAUCACAGGAACGCCGGUGGCGAAAGCGACUCUCUGGCCUGCAACUGACGCUGAGGCGCGAAAGCUAGGGGAGCAAACGGGAUUAGAUACCCCGGUAGUCCUAGCCCUAAACGAUGGGCACUAAGUAGAGGGGUUUU